AUUUUUUAUUCAUUAUCUUCUUAUACUUUUAAAAUUCUGAAGCAUUUAGAGUUGUGCAGGUACUUUAAAACUUGGAUAGAUCUUUACAACUAUAUGGAUGGCCUUGUAGAUAUGAGGGUUCUUAUGUGUAUCUCUCUCUCUCUGUUUUUUUUUUCUUCUAUUAUAAUCAUGUGCAUGCAUAGUGCUUUCAUAUUCACAGAUUUUCAAACUGUGGGCGUUCACAGUUUUCUUGAGAUAAAAUUUUUUCUCUCUUUCUUAAUGAAAUUCUUAUUCUCCUUCUCUAAAUGCCGUGUUAGUUUUUCUUAUGCGCAUUCAUGAAACUACUACUUUUUCUUUCUUUCCUCUACAACUUUGAUCGAGUUUGCAUUGUUUCUUAUUCUUAUUAAUUUCAAGUUCAAUUCUUUCUUUUUGUCAACGGGAGAAAAAUAUGUAUAUUUGUUGACUAAUUAAAAUAAUAAUAAAGGAAGAUAAUUACUUUGACAAGAAAUACUAAUUGGUUCAAGAUAUUUUUAUCCUUAUUAAUUUUGUAGGAUAUCUUGGGAGGCAGUAGAAGUGAAGCAUAAAUUGAUUGAGCUGCAAAAGCAUAUCUCAGCUCAAUCUUAUACAGGACUUAAUGAUCAAUGCCUGCCGUGAAUUGAAAAGUGGAAUAAGUCAAGUUGCAAUCCUGCUUAAAUUCAAUCAUUGAUACAAGCCUGUGCUGUUAGGCAACCAUAAUGUUAAAAAAAUUUAGAUUUAUGUUUUAAGUAAUCAAUCUUUGAAUCCAGGUGUUAUAGUAUGUGAUUAAGUGAUAAAUUAGCUCUUACAUAUCUUUUGGAUAGAUUGAAAUUGCUGAAAUAGAAGUCUAAAUAUAUUACUUGAAUAAUAAAUACAUGCUAAUUAAUUUUCUCUUGUGAGAGAUAUUAUCUGAAAAUGAAUUAAUAUCGUUGUUGACUUUUCUAUUGUGUUGUUGACUUUUUUAUUGGACUAGUUUUGGAACUUCUAAUGGAAGCGUGAGUUAUUUCAAUAGGAAUUAAAACUUGUAAGUGAAUUACAUGACACUUUGAGGCUGGUUAAUCUAACAGUUGACAGAGAGGAUAGGAUUGUGUGAAAGUUUGACAGACAGGGUGUAUUUUCUACUAACUCAUUUGUGCAAGUGUUGCAGGAGGAAACGCUUUUGGAAGACGUUAUAAGUUAUAGUUUCACCAAGACUAUUUGGAAAGGCUUAAUUCCUCCAAGAGUGGAGCUAUUUGUGUGGUUCGUCUUGAUAGACAGGGUGAAUACAAAAGAAAGAUUAUGUCGGCUUGGUAUAAUUAGCCAUGAAGAUAAUUUGUGUGUACUAUGUAAUAAGGAUGUGGAAUAUAUUUAUCACUUGUUUUUUGGAUGUGAAUUUACUUGACAAGUGUGGUAUGCAUGACUAGCUCAUUUUGACAGAAAGUGGUCCCUACCCGGUACUUUGAAGGAACAUUUUCAAAACUGGACAGAAGCAACGCGUAGAAAGGAGGACCGCAAGAAAUGGCUCAUAUGUUUCUUUGCGAUAGUUUGGAACGUCUGGAUCGAAAGGAAUAGGAGGAUAUUUCAAAAUAAAAGAACAGGGGUAGAAGAUAUCAUUCAUUUGUCUAGUCUUAGUUACCAAGAGUGGAGGCGUGAUGAUCCCUUUUGUUCUUGAUGGCUUUGUCGAAGAUGAUAAGGGGGUAUAUUUUAGCUUGGUAGGUGUUAUGUGGUUACGAUUUCUGUUAUCUAAUUUUUCUUUACUUUUUGCUC